GGCUAGUUAGUAUAGUAGUAUUAUCCUAGCUUAUUAUUAGCUUAUACGAGUAGUUAAUUCGCACUCUUUUAUUCUUAUAACUACGUACUAGAAGUUAUAGGUUUAAUUCCUAUACUAGCCG
rnacentral:tRNA from 1 species